CACGUAGGGGGCGAGCGUUGUCCGGAUUCAUUGGGCGUAAAGCGCGCGCAGGCGGCUCGGAAAGUCGGGUGUGAAAACUCGGGGCUCAACCCCGGGCGUGCAUCCGAUACUGCCGGGCUUGAGGCAGGUAGGGGAGAUCGGAAUUCCUGGUGUAGCGGUGAAAUGCGCAGAUAUCAGGAGGAACACCGGUGGCGAAGGCGGAUCUCUGGGCCUGUCCUGACGCUGAGGCGCGAAAGCUAGGGGAGCAAACGGG
rnacentral:rRNA from 1 species